UUUUACCAUACAGCACCUACAACUACAUCAUCAACAACUCCUACAACAACUACAACAUCAACCCCACCUGAAACUACAACAUCGACCACGCCUGAACCUAUAACAUCAACCACGCCUCAAACUACAACAUCAACCACACCUACAACAACUACAACAUUAACCA